rnacentral:rRNA from 1 species
GACGAACGCUGGCGGCGUGCUUAACACAUGCAAGUCGAACGAAGAGCGAUGGAAGCUUGCUUCUAUCAAUCUUAGUGGCGAACGGGUGAGUAACGCGUAAUCAACCUGCCCUUCAGAGGGGGACAACAGUUGGAAACGACUGCUAAUACCGCAUACGAUCUAAUCUCGGCAUCGAGGAUAGAUGAAAGGUGGCCUCUACAUGUAAGCUAUCACUGAAGGAGGGGAUUGCGUCUGAUUAGCUAGUUGGAGGGGUAACGGCCCACCAAGGCGAUGAUCAGUAGCCGGUCUGAGAGGAGGAACGGCCACAUUGGGACUGAGACACGGCCCAGACUCCUACGGGAGGCAGCAGUGGGGAAUCUUCCGCAAUGGACGAAAGUCUGACGGAGCAACGCCGCGUGAGUGAUGACGGCCUUCGGGUUGUAAAGCUCUGUUAAUCGGGACGAAAGGCCUUCUUGCGAAUAGUGAGAAGGAUUGACGGUACCGGAAGAGAAAGCCACGGCUAACUACGUG